AGAGAGAGACAUGCGCGCAUAUCAAUAAGCGGAGGAAAAGAAACUAACAAGGAUUCCCCUAGUAACGGCGAGUGAAGCGGGAAGAGCUCAAAUUUGAAAUCUUCAAGGGUUUCCCUUGACGAAUUGUAGUUUAUAGAAGUGUUUUCUGUUAGUAGAGGUGGUAAAAGUUCUUUGGAAUAGGACAUCAUAGAGGGUGAGAAUCCCGUAUUUGAUCACUUUCUACUAGCUUUGUGAUACACUUUCAAAGAGUCGGAUUGUUUGGGAAUGCAGUCCAAAAUGGGUGGUAAAUUUCAUCUAAAGCUAAAUAUUGGCGAGAGACCGAUAGCGAACAAGUACCGUGAGGGAAAGAUGAAAAGAACUUUGAAAAGAGAGUUAAACAGUACGUGAAAUUGUCAAAAGGGAAGCGUUUGACACCAGUGUUGUUUUUCCGAAAAUCAAUUAUGAAUGCUUUAUUUUGAGGAGUUCAUGACCUUAAUAGGCUUGUUCCUUAUUUUCUUGGAACUUUCCUAAUGCACUUUUCGGUUAACAAGUCAACAUCAAUUUCUUUUGCUGUAAAAGAGUAUGAGGAAGGUGGCUUUAUCUUUCGGUAGAAAGUGUUUAUAGCCUUGUACCUCUGCAAGUCGGAGAGAUUGAGGUCUGCAGCGUAGAUCCUUCGGGGCUAGAUACAUUUGUGCUAAGUUAUAGCUUUGUAUAGACAACAUGUUGACUAUAGCUUAGUCUUGUAGCUUACUCGCAUAUAGUAUUUUACCUACGCUUAGGAUGUUGACAGCAGUAUAGACUGU
rnacentral:rRNA from 1 species